rnacentral:rRNA from 1 species
UGGGGAAUUUUCCGCAAUGGGCGAAAGCCUGACGGAGCAAUACCGCGUGAGGGAGGAAGGCUUUUGGGUUGUAAACCUCUUUUCUCAAGGAAGAAGAUCUGACGGUACUUGAGGAAUCAGCAUCGGCUAACUCCGUGCCAGCGGCCGCGGUAAUACGGAGGAUGCAAGCGUUAUCCGGAAUGAUUGGGCGUAAAGCGUCUGCAGGUGGCUAUGCAAGUCUGCUGUUAAAGAGUGGAGCUCAACUCCAUAAGGGCAGUGGAAACUGCGUAACUAGAGUACGUUCGGGGUAGAGGGAAUUCCUGGUGUAGCGGUGAAAUGCGUAGAUAUCAGGAAGAACACCAGUGGCGAAGGCGGCUUACUGGACCGGUAUUGACGCUGAGGUGCGAAAGCGUGGGGAGCGAACAGGAUUAGAUACCCGUGUAGUCC